rnacentral:lncRNA from 13 species
AUGCACCCAGAGAGAGAGAAUAAAAACACUGAUGCACCCAGAGAGAGAAUAAAAACACUGAUGCACCCAGAGAGAGAGAGAAUAAAAACACUGAUGCACCCAGAGAGAGAGAAUAAAAACACUGAUGCACCCAGAGAGAGAAAAAAAAACAGCUAUCAAUUGCACUUAUUAUACCGCCAGCCAAAACAUUUGUAUACCACCCAAACCAUAUAUACAACUAGCAGAGUUAUGAUUAAUCGGAGCUCAUGCACAUUCAUCCAUUUCUUCGACAAAUCUACAGAUAAGAUAGUGGCAGGAAAUGUUAUCUAAAGGUUGCGCAAGAAAAAUAUGAUCAUGUCCAAAAACAAAAAAUCACAUGACUGUGGAGAAGCGAACUUGAUUUAGCAAAACUCUCCACAUGUCCUCUGUAAAUGAUUGCAAAACAAAAUACAAAAGUUGUUUUUAAUAUUAUGAUUUCAUAUAAAACAACAUUCACACCUCAGAGACAGGAAGUCAGUCAAUUACAUUAAGUAUGUGUGGUCUCAUACAUCUUUGGCAUUUUUAUAUACAAGACUUCACACUAUAAUUUCAAUGAGAAAAUGUCCUUUGCUCUUUGUAAUUGCUAUGCAUAGAAAAUAAGCAAAAUAUGUCUUAGUCCCUAUUGCUUCUUUUUUAUUAAGAUGACAGAUAUAGCCAUGGAUCAGUGACAUGGUUAUAAUGUCACAUAGGUUUAGAGACAAUGCAUUGUUGCAUGUUAACAGCAGAAGUGUGUGAUUGGUGUCUGAUCUGUUAAAACAACAUCCAUUAUUCAGACACUACACACUCCAGUGGAGAUAAGGGCCGGUCCACUAACAAUUUAACAAAGUGCCCUUGGUAAGGUGAUACCUUGUGUGAGAGAAGAGAGCUGAUCACUUUUCCUUCUCCAUAGUAACCUGAAGGAUAGACACAUUCAGAAUAGAUCUAUACCUGGGAUAGAUGUGUUUUUAACGCCAUCCAUUUAUUUAGGUUUAAAAGCAGCCGUUUCAAUGACAGUGGUACAGGGAAGAGCAAUACAACAUGUGAUUUUUUAUGACAUGUGAGCAGUAACAUAA